UGAGGAAUAUUGGGCAAUGCCCGCAAGGGUGACCCAGCAACGCCGCGUGGAGGAUGAAUGUCGUAAGAUUGUAAACUCCUAUUAGAGGGGAAGAAUAGUACCGGUUGGACCGGUAUAUGACUGUACCCUCAGAGAAAGCCCCGGCUAACUACGUGCCAGCAGCCGCGGUAAUACGUGGGGGGCAAGAGUUGUCCGGAUUUACUGGGUGUAAAGGGCGCGCAGGCGGGAUAAAAAGUCAGUGGUGAAAUCCUACAGCUUAACUGUAGAACUGCCUUUGAUACUUUUAUUCUUGAGUUCGGGAGAGAGAGACGGAAUUCCAGGUGUAGUGGUGAAAUACGUAGAUAUCUGGAAGAACACCAGUUGCGAAGGCGGUCUCUUGGUCCGACACUGACGCUGAGGCGCGAAAGCGUGGGGAGCAAACA
rnacentral:rRNA from 1 species